GUGGCAAUAGUUUAAUGGCAGAAUAGGCGGCUGUGGCCCGCUUGGCGGGAGUUCGAUUCUCCCUUGCCGCC
rnacentral:tRNA from 1 species